rnacentral:rRNA from 1 species
AUUGAACGCUAGCGGCAGGCCUAACACAUGCAAGUCGAGCGGAUGAGAGGAGCUUGCUUCUCGAUUCAGCGGCGGACGGGUGAGUAAUGCCUAGGAAUCUGCCUGGUAGUGGGGGACAACGUUUCGAAAGGAACGCUAAUACCGCAUACGUCCUACGGGAGAAAGCAGGGGACCUUCGGGCCUUGCGCUAUCAGAUGAGCCUAGGUCGGAUUAGCUAGUUGGUGAGGUAAUGGCUCACCAAGGCGACGGUCCGUAACUGGUCUGAGAGGAUGAUCAGUCACACUGGAACUGAGACACGGUCCAGACUCCUACGGGAGGCAGCAGUGGGGAAUAUUGGACAAUGGGCGAAAGCCUGAUCCAGCCAUGCCGCGUGUGUGAAGAAGGUCUUCGGAUUGUAAAGCACUUUAAGUUGGGAGGAAGGGUUGUAGAUUAAUACUCUGCAAUUUUGACGUUACCGACAGAAUAAGCACCGGCUAACCCUGUGCCAGCCGCCGCAGUAACAC